ensembl:lncRNA
AUGGAUCGACGUGUGACCUUUUAUACCAACGAGGAAAAAAGAGCAGCGAAAGCUAAAGUAAUAAGGAGGAAAAUGCAUGGCUUCCACCUCCCCUUGAAUCCUGGAAACAUAUGGGAAACAAACCCAACGUUCCAGUCAGGUCCACCUGAGAACCAUGGGUCAAAGUGGAAGACGAGGACGAGGAGAAUGAAUACUGAUACAGGAGAUGUACAGAUUACAGCUAAGUCCCCUCAUGUUCCCUGAUUAAGAGGCGAUGACGACUCCACUCCACUACCAUUGUCAACUUUCUCCUGACAUGAUCUGAAGCCACGACAGCUCAUGUGCCCACUCAUUCACUGGCACAUUGAAUGUUUUCCUUCCAAGCACUUUGAGUACUCUUAUCAAUUUUCUCUCAUUACUGUAUGUAGAGUCAAUCACAUACACAAUCACAUUAUUACACAUCAACGAUUUUACUCCUUGCUUGGACAAACUCAUUCUUAGCUCUUUUGUCUAACUGUGUACUGUAGUGACUUGUUUUAUUGUUUUUUGUCUUCCCAGUAAAAUCCUGUCCUGCACUGGUCAAGCCGCUGAACACCUCAACUCAUGCCUCAUACCCUCAUUCAAUCACUGCUGUGAUCCCUUUCCAACACUGUAAGUAGCCCUCUCCAUUCCCCUUCCCCAUAAUAUUGUACUAUAAAUGUCUUUAUUAAAUGCUUUAGGUUAAAAUAAUUUGUCUUUGAGGAUUUUUGAAACACACUGUGGUCUCCGUGCAUUCUGCGCGCCUAUAUCGUGAGUCUCCCAUCCUCCUAAAUGUUUCAAGUCACCAGCCUCCACUGAUAUUCCCAUUCUAAAUCAACUAAUAUGUCAGCUUAAUGACUUUAAAUCAUUUGUACCAUUAUUAUAACUGUGGCAGACCAGAGGGUUUGAUCAAGACGUUACACAGAUCAGACACAAGUGUGAUACCUCAGUUUCAAAGGUGUUUAUUUAAAACAGUUUUUAUGCGAGUAAAAACAAAUGCAGACAGCGGUGAUGGAAACAGGAAGUUUUGGUACAAUUUAAUAAAUGCCAGCUGAUAAUUUGUUUGCUAAACACGGUGGGAUCUUUUUGUGUCUGUAAAAUUAAUUAUGUGAAAAAUGGUAGUGGAAACACCUUUCAUGAGCAAAUAUUGAUAUAAUAACAAUCAUAUGAAAGGAAACUUGGAGUCACACGAUGAUAUUGUGUGUGGUUGUCCCACUACAACUCAGGAAACCAUGCAGUUCAAUAGGCUGCUAAUGAAAUAAGUUAUGAACUUCACAGGGUCAUGAAAGUGCACAGUGAUUAGCUUGAUGAUAUUUCACAUAAAUAUUGAGGGUCUUAUUCUGGUGACAUGAUGAUCGAUGCUUGUUUGACAAAUACAAAUAUUCUUCCUCUCAUCCAUAAAAAUCUCAUCAUGUAGACUAUUCUACCCGCACUCUAUCUGCGAGCUGUUGGCUAGAGCGCAUGUGCCAAGACCAUUGAUAUUUAAUGUAACAGUUUUUGUGACAAAACUAUAGGUAUAGUUGAAAAUGCGAUGGAAACAUAUUAAAGUUUAGAAAUUUACUUAAGAGGAAAAGUACAUUGUGUGCACUACGUCAUCAUGCACCGAUUUUAUUCCCGCAACAAGUCAGUUUGGUGGAAACACACCACUGCUGGGAAAAUGUGUAUAUUUUCUUUAUGCAGAUUUUUAGAAUAUUCACAUGAAAAUCUGUCGCCAAUUGGAUGGAAACUUAACUAUGGACAUAAAACUGAGGGACAGACAUUAUACUAUAAAAAAUAGGUAUUUCAAAGGCUUCUUUGUUUUUUUGAUUUAUACAAUAUAUUAUGUACUUUUGUUCACUUUCUAGCUUUCAAAAUAAUAGAUCUUAAACAAAGCAUUAAUAUACUUUUUCAGUAUAAAGGACUUGCAUUAUGUUUUAUCUUUAAUAAAAAGUUCAAUAUUAACAAAAACAUGUAACUAUUUUUCAUUUUAAAGUGUUUUUCAUGAAAAUGCCACUAUUCAAGAACGACCCACCAAGCAAAACGUUUUUAAACAUGCAUGGGCAAACUGUGACAACAUACAGGUGGAGAUUGUAGCCAUUUCGAUACUUCACAAGCGGCUGUCAGUCAGGGAAAUGGCUGGAGAAGACUCUCUUAACACUAUGAGCAGGUUCUCUGCUAACCUGAUGAGCUCUCCCCUGCUUUUUCAUUCUCCCUCUCCUUCUCCUCCUCUCCUGUGCUGGCCUGGAGGGGAUAUGAAUAAUUUUGGCUGGUUCCCCGGUACAGGAGCUGAGCAACGGCAGGCAGGACCUCUAAUUCAAUCAUGAAGCUUGGUUUGAUCAAUGGAUCUUCAGCAGCUGCAGCUGCAGCACCAGCCUCUCAGCCUCUCUCUCCUGCUAACUCACAUUCUAGUAUUCUCCCCUGGUUAACUCCCUCAAAACUCCCAUCACCAGUUGGAAGCUGACCAUGACACUCUGCAAGCAGUUCUCCAACAGGUGCAAAUACACUAAUUCACCUGGAACUGAAAACUCACAGAGGCAGGAGCAAGAAUGUUCAAAUUGCACACUCCAGUAAGACCUACCCAAUAUAAAGACAACUUAGUUUGACCAGAACACUCACAUCUUUAAAUGCAUUCAAUGACCUUGCUAAGCUUCUCUUUUAUUUCAUGGACAAUAAUUGAAAGGAAAGUACAGAGGUGCGUAUGUUAGAGAAAAAUAAAUGACCACACACACAUGCACACGUGCAGUUUCUUCCUGUCAUUAUUCACUCAGUUUAAGGCAGAUGCUCUGGGCUAGGAUUUUUUCCAGUAAACACCUGUGAGCAGAUGAGAGUUUCAUGAUGUGUGUGUGAUUCCCCUUUCAGGUCAUACAGAGGGGAGGAGAGGACUGGGAGCACCUAUGGGACAGACAGGGUGGAUUCACAGGUCACAGCUGGCGCGCACACACACACAAUGAUAAAACAAAACAACCUAAUAAGAAAUCUAUCUCUGGUGGUAGCCAGUCUCGUGUCUCGAUGAGGUAGAUUCCCCAGGUCCUCUACGGUGAGUAAUCUCCACACGGCCACACAGCACUUGGUUAUUUUUAAAAAUCAGGAAACUUUUCUUUCUGUCUGGGCCUCCCUUGGGUAAUCAGCUAUGGUACGGGCUG